rnacentral:rRNA from 1 species
CUACCAUGCAAGNUCGAGCGGNUAACACAGAGAGCUUGCUCUCGGGUGACGAGCGGCGGACGNGUGAGUAAUGUCUGGGAAACUGCCUGAUGGAGGGGGAUAACUACUGGAAACGGUAGCUAAUACCGCAUAACGUCGCAAGACCAAAGUGGGGGACCUUCGGGCCUCAUGCCAUCAGAUGUGCCCAGAUGGGAUUAGCUAGUAGGUGGGGUAAUGGCUCACCUAGGCGACGAUCCCUAGCUGGUCUGAGAGGAUGACCAGCCACACUGGAACUGAGACACGGUCCAGACUCCUACGGGAGGCAGCAGUGGGGAAUAUUGCACAAUGGGCGCAAGCCUGAUGCAGCCAUGCCGCGUGUAUGAAGAAGGCCUUCGGGUUGUAAAGUACUUUCAGCGAGGAGGAAGGCNUUAAGGUUAAUAACCUUGGNGAUUGACGUUACUCGCAGAAGAAGCACCGGCUAACUCCGUGCCAGCAGCCGCGGUAAUACGGAGGGUGCAAGCGUUAAUCGGAAUUACUGGGCGUAAAGCGCACGCAGGCGGUCUGUCAAGUCGGAUGUGAAAUCCCCGGGCUCAACCUGGGAACUGCAUUCGAAACUGGCAGGCUAGAGUCUUGUAGAGGGGGGUAGAAUUCCAGGUGUAGCGGUGAAAUGCGUAGAGAUCUGGAGGAAUACCGGUGGCGAAGGCGGCCCCCUGGACAAAGACUGACGCUCAGGUGCGAAAGCGUGGGGAGCAAACAGGAUUAGAUACCCUGGUAGUCCACGCCGUAAACGAUGUCGACUUGGAGGUUGUGCCCUUGAGGCGUGGCUUCCGGAGCUAACGCGUUAAGUCGACCGCCUGGGGAGUACGGCCGCAAGGUUAAAACUCAAAUGAAUUGACGGGGGCCCGCACAAGCGGUGGAGCAUGUGGUUUAAUUCGAUGCAACGCGAAGAACCUUACCUACUCUUGACAUCCAGAGAACUUAGCAGAGAUGCUUUGGUGCCUUCGGGAACUCUGAGACAGGUGCUGCAUGGCUGUCGUCAGCUCGUGUUGUGAAAUGUUGGGUUAAGUCCCGCAACGAGCGCAACCCUUAUCCUUUGUUGCCAGCGAUUCGGUCGGGAACUCAAAGGAGACUGCCAGUGAUAAACUGGAGGAAGGUGGGGAUGACGUCAAGCUCAUCAUGGCCCUUACGAGUAGGGCUACACACGUGCUACAAUGGCAUAUACAAAGAGAAGCGACCUCGCGAGAGCAAGCGGACCUCAUAAAGUAUGUCGUAGUCCGGAUUGGAGUCUGCAACUCGACUCCAUGAAGUCGGAAUCCCUAGUAAUCGUAGAUCAAAAUGCUACGGUGAAUACGUUCCCGGGCCUUGUACACACCGCCCGUCACACCAUGGGAGUGGGUUGCAAAAGAAGUAGGUAGCUUAACCUUCGGGAGGGCGCUUACCACUUUGUGAUUCAUGACUGGGGUGAAGUCGUAACAAGGUAACCAA